CCAACGUGGACACCCUGUGAGGUUGCCCUCGCAUGGCUCUGUCUGCGUGGCGUGAUGGGAGCUCAGCACCUCGUGCCGUGAUGUACAGUCCCGUUCCACGACGUUGGACAGAAGGACGCUCCCCGGCUGCUUUCAGCUGGCGUGGACGUCGCCCUGUAUAUUCCUACGCUUCCCCAGAGCCUCUGGGCCAUGACUGGGGCGGAAAACCAUGCAGGGCACAACU
ensembl:snoRNA SNORA73 Small nucleolar RNA SNORA73 family